UCUAGUGAGAAAUAUACCAUUUUCUUUUAAAAUAUGCUUUCAUUUAGGACAUACAGUUUGUAGUUUGCUUGUUUCGUUCAACUUUUUCUCCCAAAAGCUCUGUGUUACGUUGGAGAAACACGUUAACUUUCAUUCAUAUCUGCAGACGUGCGCGUGGGUCACGUGACUAAUAUGUUUCUCUUUUUUUCCGCAGAAAAUUGUAAAAUAUGAGUGAAUAUGGACUGAUUUUUUUUGAAAACAUUUCUAGCAGUAUAUAUCCCCUUUAUUUUCGUAAUAUUGCAGACAUGAAGUUGUUAGUUUGUUACGUUCAACUUUUCCUCAAAGGAUCUGAAAGCGUCUGAUCUUUUCCAUUCAUAUAUGCGGGCUGACGUGGGUCACGUGACGUGCCUUUCUCUUUUUUUUCCUGUGGAAAAUCUCGUAAAAAGCCAGUGAACGCAGCGUCAUACGGGCACCCCCACCCCACUCCACUCCACCGGAAACCCCCGGAUGAACCCGCAGGAAGGCGCUCGGCUGAAGAACUCUUGGACAGCUGGAAGGCCGCAGCAUCACGGUGAAGGCCUCUUCUGUAUAGAGGACGGGGGCGGAAACGUCACGUGGUCUCCGCAGAGACUGGUCAGUUAUUUGGAGACAACAUGCACAAAUAGUUCCUGGACUGAUCUUCUGCUAACUUUGAGGUGGAGAGGCUGUCAGGUUCAUCUGUUUCAGGGUCCUGCAUGCUCUCCCUCCAUGUUUGCCGUAGCAGUGGAUGGAACUUGCAAAAUGUACUGUUUUGAGAGCCAACUGGGGCUCAGUGGUUAUUUUGAAGAUGCGUUUCUGACCAAAAACACUGUGGAGACCUCCUUUGUGAACUGCAUUCAUGGGGAAAUAGAAAAUGUAAAGUUAUUUUCAUGUCUUCUUCCUCAAGAAAAGGAACACGCCUGCAUAUAUGUUUUAUUGUAUUUUGUGUCAUAUCAUCAUGUUAAUAUACGACAUCUUCUGGCAAAGUAAAUGAGGAAGGAUCGCAGUCUACCGUCGUGGAGUUUUGCUGAAAGGACUGAACAUGUUCCAUCCAUCCAUCCAUCUUCUUCCAUUCAUUCAGAACCAGGUUGUGAGGGCAGCAGUCUAAGCAAAGAUGCCCACACUUCCCUCUCCUCCAGCUCCUCUUGGGGGACCCCGGGGCCAGCUGAGAGACGUAGUCUCCCCAGCGUGUCCUGGGUCUCCCUUAGGGCCUCUGCCCAGUGAGACAUGCAUGGAACCCCCCCCCCCCCGGGAGGCGUCCUCCUCUGGAUGUAGAGAGGAAGUGGCUCCACUCAGAGCUCUCUCCAGGUGAGCGAGCUUCCUGAACCUGUUCCGUUGAGAUAUUUUCAUGAACCCCUUCUAUUUGCAGAAACGGCUUUCUCCACAGACCGUGCAGUUCUUCUGCUCUGAUGUAGUCUACGAGUUCUGAUCGCAUUUGGAGAAGGUUGGCGUUCCUUGUCCUGAGAGGCAAGACCUGUUGAACAUGUGUCCUUUUCAAGUUUACUCUUGGAUGUGUGAGUUUGCAAACAUACAUUUUGGUUGAAAUGAUGAGGAUCCGAGGAUGAAAUCAAGAAGGGACAACAUCAGGGAAAGGGACUGAACCGACUGAACAGCUUCCUCUCUUCAGCAGACACAUGUUCCGAGUACAUAUGUGUCAAAAACUGACAUCCUCGCCGUUCAGGCCAGUGGCUGGAACAAGCGGAAGUCAGAAAAGCUGGAGCAGACGUUACCAGAAUGAUACCUCCAGGACCAAUCAAAAUGACCCAGAGAAAAACACUGAAGGGCUUUGUCUGAGCAUCAGGAAAACAAGAAUCAGCAUAUGGUUAUGGUGCCAUGGUAAAGAACUAAAGGCUCUAUGAUGUCAUGCUGCUGACCAGACUGUGGUUGGUGAAGUCCAGCAGCACUGCGGGUCCUUGAAGUGUGGUUGAAGAGCUCUCCUCCCAGCUUUUGGAAGGCAGCAAAGAGGCAUUGAUGGAGAGAGGACGUGAAGGACUAAUUGUCUGCUGAGGAGGAGACUUUCUGCAGUUCAAGCCCCAGUUCCACCCCUAAAAAAAGGCUUAUAUGAAGGAAAACCUCAUUUCAACUUUGUACCAAUAAAUGACUUUUAAUUGAAAUGAGAGAUUUUUUUUCUGCACCGCACCAAUGAAGGUUUUUUCAACCUAAAUUUCAACAAUUACAUUAUUUUUUACCUCCGUUCAAGUUUCUACAACACUAGCUAAACAUUUCAGUGCUCACACCUGUGCUGAAGACACUUCUCAUUUUAUCUCAAACGUUUGGCCUUUGAUUUGUAUGUCCAACACCUUAGAAUGAAACACUGACCUAUUAAACUCAUAUAAUAAAUGUGCUAUGCAUCUCCAAAUCCUUUGUCAGGGUACAGACUACAUUUUAAUUGUAGCAAGACUGAAGUAAAAUGUAACAAAAUGACAAUGAGUUAUCUUAAAUUAGGGGUAAAUGACAUGAGAAAUUAAGAAUAUUAGAAGUGUGGAGUGAUUCGUGUAUUUAUCAGUAUGUUAGCUGCAGGAAGGGUGCUGUCCUUGACACGUCCCUUUACUCAGACAGGAUGACAGGUAGGGAAGGGGGUAGCCGAUGAUCUGCUCCAGUAUCUUCAGCACUGAAGCUUCUGCUGCUCUUCUUCAGUUUGAUCUGAGAGCCAGACCAUGAUGCAGUUGGACUGGCUGAGCGGUAGGUUGCCAGCAGCUUCAGACGUGCUGAUGUGCCUUGUUGAUAACAUCCUGGAUGUUAGGAAACCAAGUUAGAUCAGCUGAGAUGGGGAUGCCCAGGAAAGGGAAGCUGUGAACCUUCCUCUGUGCCUACUAAAGUCCAAGAUGACUUUCAUGGUCUUUUAUUUGCCGAUCAGCCUUACACUAUACAGUUUCCGCACUACAAAGUUCACCUCAGUGACCUUUCAUAAGUCUUUGUUAUUGGCAAGUUAAUUACUUAUAUCCAAGACAUGGAGAUGUGCAUGGUGGGUCCAGUAUGAGCAGGAUUUGGGAAAUGGCAGUUGCCAAGAACUCACAUGAAGUUUCAAGGUUUUUGCCUUUAUUUGGAGGAAAAAAAGUUUUUGUCCUUUGUUUGUUGUGCAGAAUUGCAAACCUAGAAAGAAAUCAAGUUGAAAGAAUUUAUAUAAAUGUAUUUGCCCUUCUUUUGACCCUUCUACAUCAUGAAUAUUUGGUGGCUGUUGCUUGGCGACUGUGAGAUCUCUCCAUAGGAUUGACAUGGGCUGGGCCUCUCCAUGACCUUGAUAUGAUUGUUCUUCAGCCAUUUCUUGGUUGCCUUGGCUGUAGGUUCUAGGUCACUAACCUGUUGGAAGACCCAUCCAUGACUGAUUUGAAGGGUCCUGGCUUAAGGAUGGUAGGAAGUUCUCACUCAAGAUUUUUCAUUAAUGGCUCCAUCAACGUGGUGACGUAGCUCUGUGCAGAAAAAUAGCCACAAAGCAUAAUGCUUCCACCUCCAUGUUUGACAGUGGGGAAGCUGUUCUUGGGGUCAUAGGUAGCAAUUCUUUUCCUCCAAACCCAAUGGUUGAGUUGAUGCCAAAGAGCUCAGUUUUGAGCCAAACAUUCCAUUAUGCAGAAUAAACUGAUAAAGCAAACCCUAUUUUUCAGUGUGUGAUUUUCAUUUUUUCAUAAAUCUUAGGACAAUUUAGAAGAUAAAAGUAACAAAUAAAUGAAAACAGUAUAAUACAGCAAAUAUGUAAAUAUUUGAUGUGAUGAACAAUGCUUAUCUGAUUUAGACCCAACAUGAAAUGUUUUUUGACACACACAAAUCAAGUUGUGUUAUUUAAUGCUCGUAAUUUAGACACAAAUGAUAGAAAUGUUAGGUUUAUAUGCCAAAGAGGCCAUGUGAAAAAUUUAGUGCAAAUACGCAUGCGUGCGCGCCGUGCACAUAAAGCCACCCCACCCCCACGUAUCCGCGCGCCGGUCGGUGGGUGUUGGGCGUCAAUAAAGGUAAUCUGGUUGUCGCGCUUUCUGCAUCUCUGCGCGAGCUAAAGAAGUCUCAAAGAUGAAUGCCGCUGUUGUUAUCACUGUGACGGAAGAGCGGUGCUGAAAAAUACGGCCUCCAUCGAGAGACUGAACGUAACACGACUGCAGCUGAAUCUGCCACGAGGCUCGACAACGUCUUCCAUCAACUGCAAAGCGGUGAUCGCUGUGGCCGCCAAAACAUCCAAAUGUCAGGCGGGCUACAAAGAUUUCAGGCCAAAAGAGAAAGCCUCACAUGUGAUGAAGUGUCUGUAUUGGUUGGAAAAACCAGCAGCCCUCCAGUGCUUCAGCCGUCCAACCAUCAACCGUUUCAGACAUCCAUCCUCCCACCACUUCAACCACCAAUCUCUCCACCACUUCAGCCCCACAGCCGUCCACCAGUGUCCCAACUCCUGACAUUUUACUAUCCUGGGGGGGGUCAUGGCCUCUACGCUGGAUUCCAAAAAAGAGACAAAAAAAACCCCGACCUCAACCCCCACUCUUAGUCAGACAUGUUUAUUUUUUUAUUUACAAUAAUAAAUAAUAUACUAUGUACAUUUAUUCUGUUUUACUUUUUUAUACUUAGUUUCUUUAUUUCCUAUAAUAUUUAUUAGUAGUUGUUGUUUGUUGAUGUUAGUUCUUUUUAGCCCCUUUUAUGUUAAAAUAGACGUAAAUGAUCCAGAUGCUGAUAUUCUAAUAUAUAGACAGAUUUAUGAAUGAAUUAUUCUCAACAGAAGUUCAACACUAUUGUGGUAGCAGUCUGACUGUUUUACUGUUUAGUUUUACUGCAAUCUGUCGUGCCUCACCCACUGUCCAUCCCAUAAAAAGAACAAUUCUACAUCAUUAACCUUUUAUUAUUUUUAUUCAUAUGGCACAUUCAUAAA